AACGAACGCUGGCGGCAGGCCUAACACAUGCAAGUCGAGCGAGGACUUCGGUCCUAGCGGCGGACGGGUGAGUAACGCGUGGGAACGUGCCCUUUGCUUCGGAAUAGCCCUGGGAAACUGGGAGUAAUACCGGAUGAGCCCUUUGGGGGAAAGAUUUAUCGGCGAAGGAUCGGCCCGCGUUGGAUUAGGUAGUUGGUGGGGUAAUGGCCUACCAAGCCGACGAUCCAUAGCUGGUUUGAGAGGAUGAUCAGCCACACUGGGACUGCGACACGGCCCAGACUCCUACGGGAGGCAGCAGUGGGGAAUCUUAGACAAUGGGGGAAACCCUGAUCUAGCCAUGCCGCGUGAGCGAUGAAGGCCUUAGGGUUGUAAAGCUCUUUCAGCUGGGAAGAUAAUGACGGUACCAGCAGAAGAAGCCCCGGCUAACUCCGUG
rnacentral:rRNA from 1 species